rnacentral:rRNA from 1 species
UGGGGAAUAUUGCGCAAUGGGGGGAACCCUGACGCAGCAACGCCGCGUGAAGGAUGAAGGUUUUCGGAUCGUAAACUUCUUUGAUGAGGGACGAAGAAAUGACGGUACCUCAAAAACAAGCCACGGCUAACUACGUGCCAGCAGCCGCGGUAAUACGUAGGUGGCAAGCGUUGUCCGGAUUUACUGGGUGUAAAGGGCGUGUAGGCGGGAAUGCAAGUCAGAUGUGAAAUUCCGGGGCUCAACUCCGGGGCUGCAUCUGAAACUGUAUUUCUUGAGUGCUGGAGAGGAAAGCGGAAUUCCUAGUGUAGCGGUGAAAUGCGUAGAUAUUAGGAGGAACACCAGUGGCGAAGGCGGCUUUCUGGACAGUAACUGACGCUGAGGCGCGAAAGCGUGGGGAGCAAACA